rnacentral:rRNA from 1 species
UGGGGAAUAUUGGACAAUGGGCGAAAGCCUGAUCCAGCAAUGCCGCGUGAGUGAUGAAGGCCUUAGGGUUGUAAAGCUCUUUUACCCGGGAUGAUAAUGACAGUACCGGGAGAAUAAGCCCCGGCUAACUCCGUGCCAGCAGCCGCGGUAAUACGGAGGGGGCUAGCGUUGUUCGGAAUCACUGGGCGUAAAGCGCACGUAGGCGGAUGUGUCAGUCAGGGGUGAAAUCCCGGAGCUCAACUUCGGAACUGCCCUUGAUACAGCACGUCUUGAGUCCGGAAGAGGUGGGUGGAAUUCCUAGUGUAGAGGUGAAAUUCGUAGAUAUUAGGAAGAACACCGGUGGCGAAGGCGGCCCACUGGUCCGGUACUGACGCUGAGGUGCGAAAGCGUGGGGAGCAAAC